UACAGGGGGUGCAAACGUUGCUCGGAAUCAUUGGGCGUAAAGCGCACGUAGGCGGUUCGUUAUGUCGGAUGUGAAAGCCCUUGGCUUAACCGAGGAAGUGCAUCCGAAACUGGCGAGCUAGAGUACUAAAGAGGAUCGCGGAAUUCCCGGUGUAGAGGUGAAAUUCGUAGAUAUUCGCAAGAACACCAGUGGCGAAGGCGGCUCACUGGCCCGAUACUGACGCUGAGGCACGAAAGCGUGGGGAGCAAACAGG
rnacentral:rRNA from 1 species